CAGCUCCUAACGCCGCAGGUUCCUCCUGGUCCCCGAGGCCCCCGGUCGGGCGUUGCCUGCCCCGCGCGGGCGGCCGGGCCGAGGGACGAUGGUCAGUGGACGGACGGCGCCAGGGAGCAGUGCCCACGCGCGGCAGGGCGGUACCUUCAGGCCUCCAGGUGUCAUCGAACACCCUUGUGCUUGCUGUCACCCGCUGCCUGUCUGCAGGAUCCCGGAUUCCGUAUCAGGGGACCGAAAUUAGUCGGAAAAUAGGAAGCAGGUGCUCGCUUGGAUGGAACCCUGACCCUGUGCUCACACUUGUAGGAGGAGGGCUCUGCAGGCCGCCUCCCGGAACGGGAGGUUCCCAAGCCACUGCACUUCGGAGGGGCUGUAAUUAGAGUUGCACAUUCAUUCAGUUCCCAGUAAAGUAGAACGUGCUCCAGCCAGUGAGGAAAAGGUGUUUUUAAAAAUUAGAUUGGCCGAGUGCGGUGGCUCAUGCCUUUUACCUCAACACUUUGGGAGACAAAGGUGGGAGGAUCACCUGUGGCCAGGAGUUCAAGACCAGCCUGGGCAACAGAGCCUGUCUCUGGGGAAGAAUAAAAAAAAAAAUUGAGCCUUU
rnacentral:lncRNA from 1 species